rnacentral:rRNA from 1 species
AGUGAACGCUGGCGGUAGGCCUAACACAUGCAAGUCGAACGGCAGCACAGUAAGAGCUUGCUCUUACGGGUGGCGAGUGGCGGACGGGUGAGGAAUACAUCGGAAUCUACUUUUUCGGGGGGGAUAACGUAGGGAAACUUACGCUAAUACCGCAUACGACCUACGGGUGAAAGCAGGGGAUCUUCGGACCUUGCGCGAUUGAAUGAGCCGAUGUCGGAUUAGCUAGUUGGCGGGGUAAAGGCCCACCAAGGCGACGAUCCGUAGCUGAUCUGAGAGGAUGAUCAGCCACACUGGAACUGAGACACGGUCCAGACUCCUACGGGAGGCAGCAGUGGGGAAUAUUGGACAAUGGGCGCAAGCCUGAUCCAGCCAUACCGCGUGGGUGAAGAAGGCCUUCGGGUUGUAAAGCCCUUUUGUUGGGAAAGAAAAGCAGCAGGUUAAUACCCCGCUGUUCUGACGGUACCCAAAGAAUAAGCACCGGCUAACUUCGUG